CACCCGUAUCAGAAUCUCUUCCAAGUUCCAUAUUUUCUCCUCGCACCAGCCCAUGGAUACUGGAAGAAUCACAAACUUCACAUUAGAAGAUGCCAAAUGCGCCAGCACAUGUUCUCCAGUCUAUUAUUGCGGUCACGUGUAUUCCUAGUUGCAAUCACCUUGAUUUAACAGGAAGGAUACAGUUUAGCUUACUGGAUUGGGAAGUUUUAUCAUUUAUCCAAGGCAGCUUAGAAAUCUGGAAGCUAAGCAAAAGGACUUUCGAUUCAUCAGGUACAAGUCUCAACCAUCGAUCUUGCGUGAUUAAAUUCCUACCUAUUCUAGCAUGCAAUACUUGGAUAAUUUUUUUAUUUCCUAAGCGGUAGUUUGCAAUUAACUGUGAGAGCUAAUAAAAAGGUUACACUCAUAAUAAUAUUCCCCCAUCAAAAAGUGGCCAAAAAGAGGUAAGCAAGAGUGGGGGCGCUGACGUUCCCUCGCUUUUAGAUUAGAAAGGAAUAUAUACCCUUAUGUGUCA